GGUAUUUUGACCGUGCAAAGGUAGCGCAAUCACUUGUCUUUUAAAUGAAGACCUGUAUGAAUGGCAUGACGAGGGCUUAACUGUCUCCUUUUUCCAGUCAAUGAAAUUGAUCUUCCCGUGCAGAAGCGGGAAUACAACCAUAAGACGAGAAGACCCUAUGGAGCUUUAAACAAAAACAGAUCUUGUUAAACAUAUCCAAACAAAGAAAUUAAACUAAAAGAACCCUGUUGUUNAUGUUUUUGGUUGGGGCGACCACGGGGAAACAAAUAACCCCCAUGUGGACUGAGAAAACAAUUCUCACAACAAAGAGCCACAGCUCUAAUUAACAGAACUUCUGACCUUNGAGAUCCGGCAAUGCCGAUCAACGGACCAAGUUACCCUAGGGAUAACAGCGCAAUCCUCUUUUAGAGUUCAUAUCGACAAGAGGGUUUACGACCUCGAUGUUGGAUCAGGACAUCCUAAUGGUGCAGCAGCUAUUAAGGG
rnacentral:rRNA from 1 species